rnacentral:lncRNA from 1 species
AUGCUGCUGCCCAUCGAUCAUGUACUGCACCAAUAUUUCAUGCUUUGUUGAAGACUACACCGUCGUGUUGAUGUUGCUUCUCUCUUUCUCUCUCUCUCUCUCUCUCUCUAGAAGGGUGUAUUGAUGGAAAUGUUCGGUGAUUCUAGUAAUUGUUUUGUGAUGUGUUAUCGGUUCACAAAGGAAGUUCUCCCAGGAAAAUAAAAAUGAUUCUGCUAAAUGAGUUGAGUGCAUCUGAUCAUACAUACAUGGAAGAGUUGAGUGCACGCAUCUAAUUCCAAAUACAAGUUCCUCGAGACAGUCGCUUGAAAGCAAAGGCUAUCAAAAGCUAUCAAUUUAUGUACGUUUUAGUAAUACCACAUUGCACUGCAUGCAAUAUAAUUUUCAAUAAAACAUUAUAUAUAUACAUAAAAUUUAAUAAAAAGCUUGAUGAAACAUGAACAACAUGAUCUUCUAAUUCAAUUAUCUUCUCCCUUCAAAUUUAAAACCUAGCAUUCGCAAUAAAUAGUAUGAUGAAGCAUGAACAACAUGAUCUUCUUCCUUUAAAAAAACCUAGAAUUGUCUAUAUGUCUUCGAAAUAAAUAGUAUCUUUUGCCUAUCACCUUGGUUCAUUUAUACCAAACACUCGUUGAUAGACUUUAUUAUACCUUGAUAUUUUAUCAUUUUUUAUUAUUAAAUAUUUAGAAAAUAAUAAAUAAGUAUAUAUUUUUUAUUCUUCAUUUUUUUUAUUUAUUUACCACUUGUUUUUAUUGAACUUUUUCUCUUGUUCUUAAUCCACAUGUAUGAAACAUAAAGGUAAAUUGUUUCACAAAUAUGAUUAAUUGCAUGUAUAAAGUGUGCAAUCUUAGAUUUUGAUAAUGAAACUAAUUGAUAAAGUUAUGAUAUAAUCAGCAUUUUGAGUGACAUAGGACUAACCUCGAUCAAAGAAAGUUAAAUUGAUUGACACAAGAAGAAUCAAACAUUGGGUUAGAGUGAAAUAUGUCAGGAGAUUGGACGUCGAGCUGGAAGAUCGAUCGACGUACCGGUAAAAGGACUUUGUGUCAUGAGUUCGGGCUUCGGGCCGAAUGAUCAAACAUUGUGCCAAGGGGAUCGGAAGUUGCAUGGGCCAAUAUACCAAUUAAGCAAUAUGCCAAAAGAGAGGAGGAUGCACUGAAGGAUCAAACGAAGCAUCGGAUGAACCAAUGACAUACCGGACUACAUAGGAUUCGCGUUUGUAAUCAAUUGUGCCUAGAUUGAGUUAGUUUAGGUCUAAUUGAGUUGGUAUUGGGAUGAAACAAUUUCAACUCAGUUAUGGGCCCAUUGGGCCUAAGUUGAGGUUGUUUUGGGCCAAGUGAGGCCCAUGUAGCAACCCUUAGCAAGCCCAAGUGGUGGCACCGUUUAGGACUCGGCCUCUCAAGUUGUCUCGACGGUGGUACUACCCAAAUAGUCUUUAAGACUGUGUCGAUGGUACCGUCAGACUCGGUGUUGAUACCACCUAAUAUCAGUGUCAGACUGAGUGGUGAUAAUGCCCAGUGUCAGACUAACAAGUGGUGGUAUCGCUAGUUAUCAAUCUGUCAAGAGGUGGUACCGCCCAAUAAUGAUGGUGGUAUCGUUAGAACCUGAGAAACCCGGGAUGAUACCUUUUUUUUUUUUUUUUUGAAACCAUUUGGGGUCUAUAAAUACCCCAGCUAGUCUUGCAUGAAUAAGUAAGAAAACAAAACAUUGUUAUUCUGAGUUGAAAAAGUACUAAAUUGUCCUCCUCAUUAAGUUUCAAGUUUAGUAUAAGAGAUGUGUGAGGCUUAUAAAUGUUGUCUCCUAAACUUGUGAAAAGGAGAAAGAGUUGUAAGAGGAUAGUUGGUUUUCGACCAUUAAAAGAAAACCGUUAGCGAAUGUCGAUUGCCUCAACAAAGGAGAAAUUAGGAGUGAACGUAGGUCACAACGAUCGAACUACUAUAAAUCUAGUUUGUGUUGACUCUAAGUCAAUUAUACUUUUAUUAUCAUUUUCAUCAAAUUAAGAUUUUUUUAAAAUUGAUAUUUUUAUUAAAAGUAUUAAUUUAUCCCCUCUUAGUGUCUGACUUAAUCAUAACAUAAAUAAAGAGGGUGCUGAAUUUGUUUAAUUGUUAUAAAGUAUGUUUUGAAGUAAUUUUUUUGAGGAAAAAAAGAUACAUUGGUACCCUCAAUUUUAUUUUUCCCCAUCAAUGCCUCAUCAUUCCGUGUGUUUCCAAAAUGCCCAUGAUAAGAUAAAGUGAACUAGUUUACUGCAAUACAACUUAUAUUAUUUUUGAAUCGUAUGACAAUAUUUUUUGGUACCUCCAUCAAAACACCAUAACCUUAUUUAAAAUAUUUAAUGGUAUAAAAAUUAUUUUUUUUAAUGUCAUUAUUUGUAAAAAUACCUGAAACUUCACCAAGGUUGGUAAGGUAGUUUGUGUUGGAACCUUUUUGGCAAAGAUAUGCCACGUAGACUGAUACAUACUAUGCAUCUAUCUAAUCCGAGAAAUUAUUUUAGUAUCUUAUCAAGAGAAUUUUGAAAAAAGAAAAUCAUAAAAGCCCAAAAAGACAUACCUUUCCCAUGAAAUUGAUUCCAUUAUAAAUAAAUACUAUGGUUGUAAGGAAUAGUAAGAGUGAAGGUAUGAGAAGUUCGAGCACUGAGAAAUUUUAUGAGUUAUACCUUCUAUAAGAAUAUAUUAUUAUAAGGCAAUGAGACUAGGCAAUAAUGUUUUUAUGUAAUUUACAAGCACAUUGACUAACAUUUUAUAAGUGACAUUGCAUAAAAUCUUUUCUCCUACACAUAAUAAUCAACUUAUUAUAAUAUUUUCACAUUACGAUAACCUUCAUUUAUUUACUUAGUUUUGAUGGUGAUCUACUAUUUAAUAUUAAUCGGCCAAAAAAGACUUGAAAUUUGUUGUAAAAUUAAGAAAGUUAUAUUUCUUCCUUGAUCUGAUAAGGUUGUCUAAUAUAUUGAUGAUCUAGUAUCAUGUCGUGUCAUGUUAGAUACUUUGUUAGUAUGAUACGUUAAUCGAUCAUCAUGGUACCAUCUCGAGUAUCCUCUGAUAUACGAAUUGUACUCUCUAACUUAUUAACUCAAGUCACAAUGAUGAUAAUCAUAAUGUCUAGCGGUUCAUCGGACCUUCCCACAUUUUAAAUUAUUACAAAAAAAACCCCACUUUAAAAGUUUGAAGUGUCAUUCUCAAUGUAAUUUUAACAGACACACUCAUUCUAUUGACAUACAUUUCAGAGAUUUUAAUUUAGUUUUGUUAGAGAACUUGUUGAGCCAAUUUUAUAUUAACCCUUUGGUUUGCUAUAGGUUCAAACAUUGGACUGGGAUUAAUUUUGAACUAUCUGCCAUAUCAGACAAUUAUAAUAUAUCAUAACAAUUCCAAACUUCCUUAAUUAGAGAUACAAUCAAAUUUCCCCAUUAGACACCAAGGGACAUCCUAAAAGCUCACAGAAGAAGGUGAAUAAUGGCAAGUAGAAGAUCUCAUAGAUCCAAAAUUUGAUGGAUAGUAUUGGAUAGUUGAAUAUAUUUCCUCAUGUAACACCUUGGUUUACUCCCAUGUUAAAAGUGGAUAAAAAGCAUAGACCCAAGCAUUUUGGCCAAAUAGUUUAAUUAGUUAAUUAUCUUAUCAAAUUGGGUUAUGAUAAUUAGUAUCAGAGUGGACCAAUGCAACAAAUGGAAUUAAAAAUAAGUAAUAAUUAAUUUACAAUUAUUUUUUUCAAGUGAAAAUGUAAUCAUAUUUUUGGUGAAAACUUUAACCUAUAUGCAGCAAGAUUUAAAUACUCAAAAACACUUUUAGCUUGUAAAGCAAAUAUGAAGACUUCACCCUAACCGUCACUAGUUUAAUUUAGCAUUUUCAUUCCAAGCAAGAUUGUCUUAGUUAUGCCAUUGUAGAAAAUGCCUUAUAAUCUUCUUGUAACAAGAAGCGAAUUUAUUAGUAUAAUAAAUAACAUAUAACUAAUAAGGAUUAUCCUACCGGGAACAACUAGCCAAUUCCUAAUAUGUUUGUUGAUGAAUUAGUGCUUAUAUAAAAUCACGUCGGUUUAAAAAUUUCGUUCAAUGAAAUUAAGAUAUUAAAAAUCAAUUUGAAAAUAAAAAGCUUAAAAUAAAUAUAAAUUAGAUUUAUAGUGAUUCGAUCAUCGUGACCUACCUCCGCUCUCGAUUCAUCUUCACUCGAGGCCACCGGCUUCCACUACCGAUCUUCUUUCAACGGACGAAGAUCAACUACCCUUACAACUCCUUCUCCUUUUUACUGGUUUAGGAAAGAACUUUUACACAUCUCUCUUUUAGACUUCACUCCUCCCUUAGGAACCUUCUAACUCUAGGAGGAAGAUACUCACUAACUUUAGAGAGAUUAUAACACUUUUUUUCUCAAGUAUAUUUUCCCUCUUUUUCAACUCAAAUUCAUUAUUACUCCAAGAAAGAAUAGUUGAGGUAUUUAUAGACUCUAAAUGACUUAAAAAAUGGAGUCAAAAAAUAUCUUAUCCCAGGUUUCCCGAGUUCUGAUAGUACCAUCGCCUAUAGCAUUGUAUGGUACUACUGCCUGACAUAGUCUGAGAGACUGUAUUUGGGCGGUAUCAUCGCCUAGUCUAUCGAUACUACAACCCGACAACUAGAAAAAGUGUGCUCUUAACUUUUCUAACUCAUAGGUAGUUCCACAUAAUCUUGGAUGACCGAAUGAGCCUUCCACUUUGGCCCAAAACAAUCUCAACUCAGAACCAAUGAGUCCCUAACUGAGUUGGCAUGGUUACACCCCAAAAUCGACUCAAUUAGACUCUAAACUAAUUUAAUCUAGACAUAAUUGAUUACAAGCAUGAAUCCUAUAUUGUUCGGCAUGUCAUUAGUUCAUCCGACGCUUCAUCCGAUCCUUCGACGUAUUAUCCAAUUGCCAUGUUGACCCUCGCAACUUCCGAUCUCCUUGGCGCAAUGUUCGAUCCUUCGGCCCGAUGCCCAAACUCACAACACGAAGUCCUUCUGUCAACACUUCGAUCGAUCCUCCGAUCGACGUCCAAUCUUCUGACAUGUUCACUCCGACCCAACAUUCGAUUCUUCCUACUUUAAUCGAUUUAUGUUUUCUAAUCAAAGAUAGUCUUGUGUCACUUCAAAUAUAUAUUAGAUCGUAAAUUCAUCAAUUGAUUUCAUCAUCAAAAUUUAAGAGUCAACACUCAUCGUAUUUAAAAGACUUUAAGAAGUAUGUCAUGAGAUUCGUUAGCAUGAAACAACCAUGGAUCCUCCUAUUCUCAUAAACUUUUAAAAAUUUUAUUUUAUAUCAGAAUUUAACAAAACGUAAGGAUAAAAGAUCUCCCUAUCUAAUCCAUUCACUAUUUUUUUUUCAUAAAAAUCAAGGUUCCACAUUAAUAAAACAAACCAUAACAAUAAAGUAUGUUAUAAGCCUUUUCCAAACGUUAAUAUAAGGGUUUUUUAUAUUUAGAAUCAAAUAAAGACUCAGAAAUCUCCUCAAUUAGAGGAUAUUGUCCUUAAUACUAUUACCUUUUAUAAGAAUAUAUUAUUCUAAGGUAAUGAGACUUGCCAACAAUUUUUUUAUAUAAUUUACAAGCACCUUGACUAACAUUUAAUAAUUAAGAUUACAUAAUUUUUUUCCACGUACACAUAAUAAUCAACUUAUUAUACUAUUUCACGUUUUAAACUAUCGUCUUGCUUUAUUCAUUUAGUUUUGACGGUCAUCCCUCGUUUUAAACUUAUUAGGUGUCUUUCUCGAGCUAAUUUCAACGUACAAUAAUCGUUUUACUUUUUAAAAUUUUAGAUUUAUCUAUCGAUUUAAGCAUCAGAAUAAUCUUUAAGUUUUUGCUGGAGACUUUAUCGAACCACUUCAUUCUUGACAUUAGAGUUCUCUAUCAGUUCAAAAAUCGAAAUCUGAUUAAUUUCGAGCUGUCUAACAUAUCACACAAUCAUAAUGUAUUACUUCCUAAAUUAGAAAAAGUGUAAACAGAAUAAAGUUAAAAUUCACCAUUAGACACCAAAGCACAUCUUAAAUGCUAAUAGAAGAAGGUGAAGAAUUCUUCUUCUUUAAUUGGGCAGGAAAAGUAGUAUUUAUUCUUACCAUUUCAUUUCCUAGCGCAUCACGGAAGCCACACCACCAGAAAAGGAAAAGAGCCAAAGCGUUUCCAUCACCAAAGCACACAAAUUAAGCGCGGUUCCAUAGGUUCUCAAGCAUGAAGCUUUCUUCUCCCACCAUCGUAUUUCUUGUCCUCGGGCUUCUCUUCGCUUCCAUGACCACCACGACCUCCCGGGAGACGCCCACCCAUGGCGUGCGAGAGAAAGGUUGGUAUCUUUCUCAUUCUGCAACAUGCAUUGCGUAUCAUGGUUCAUCAUAUUCAUGGCGAUAUCCUCCACGUAUUCGAUGGAAGUCCUCCUCAAAAUGUUGAUGUUGCCCAUGUGUUCAGGUCGAGAUGGGGCUACGGUGCAACCCGAAGGUGUCAUCUACGGCCUUGCAAGGGUGUCUCCUUUUACACCGCCGGCGCCAGACGCCAACCAUCACCCUGACCCUCCCUUCAACAAUCCCUGAAGCCAUGCUGCUGCCCAUCGAUCAUGUACUGCACCAAUAUUUCAUGCUUUGUUGAAGACUACACCGUCGUGUUGAUGUUGCUUCUAUCUCUCUAAAAGGGUGUAUCGAUUGUAGUGUUUCAUGUUCGGUGAUUCUAAUAAAUGUUUCCUGAUGUGUUAUCAGUUCACAAAGGAUGUUCUCCUAGGAAAAUAAAAAUGAUUCUGCUAAAUGAGUUGAGCGCA